UACAGAGACUGCAAGCGUUAUUCGGAUUCACUGGGCGUAAAGGGUGCGCAGGCGGCCGAGUGUGUGAGGCGUGAAAGCCCGGGGCUUAACCCCGGAAUUGCACCUCAAACUACACGGCUAGAGCAUUGGAGAGGGUAGCAGAAUUCAUGGUGUAGCAGUGAAAUGCGUAGAUAUCAUGAGGAAUACCAGAGGCGAAGGCGGCUACCUGGACAAUUGCUGACGCUCAGGCACGAAAGCGUGGAGAGCAAAAGGG
rnacentral:rRNA from 1 species